rfam:Xenopus laevis strain J chromosome 7S, whole genome shotgun sequence.
GGUUUUCAGGCAGUGUAGUUAGCUGAUUGUGUUAUAUCAAAUGUGCAAUCACUAACUAAACUGCCAUCAAAAC